UACGUAGGUGGCGAGCGUUGUCCGGAUUUACUGGGCGUAAAGCGCGCGCAGGCGGCAGUCUAAGUCCUCUGUGAAAUCACCCGGCUCAACUGGGUGGCUGCGGAGGAGACUGGGCAGCUUGAGGGGCCUAGAGGCCGGUGGAACUCCCGGUGUAGUGGUGAAAUGCGUAGAGAUCGGGAAGAACACCAGUGGCGAAGGCGGCCGGCUGGGGGCGCCCUGACGCUGAGGCGCGAGAGCGUGGGGAGCAACGGACGUAGAACCUAAGUACUCGAGCACAACAUCUCUGCACCGUA
rnacentral:rRNA from 1 species